rnacentral:rRNA from 1 species
GUCCACGCUGUAAACGUUGGGCGCUAGGUGUGGGGUGCUUCCACGUGUCCCGUGCCGUAGCUAACGCAUUAAGCGCCCCGCCUGGGGAGUACGGCCGCAAGGCUAAAACUCAAAGGAAUUGACGGGGGCCCGCACAAGCGGCGGAGCAUGUUGCUUAAUUCGACGCAACGCGAAGAACCUUACCAAGGUUUGACAUCGCCCGGAAAGCCUCAGAGAUGGGGCCCUCUUCGGACUGGGUGACAGGUGGUGCAUGGCUGUCGU